UACCAGCACCCCGAGUGGUCGGGACGUUUAUUGGGUCUAAAGCAUCCGUAGCCGGUUCUACAAGUCUUCCGUUAAAUCCAACUGCUUAACAGGUGGGCUGCGGAAGAUACUAUAGAGCUAGGAGGCGGGAGAGGCAAGCGGUACUCGAUGGGUAGGGGUAAAAUCCGUUGAUCCAUUGAAGACCACCAGUGGCGAAGGCGGCUUGCCAGAACGCGCUCGACGGUGAGGGAUGAAAGCUGGGGGAGCAAACCGG
rnacentral:rRNA from 1 species